rnacentral:rRNA from 1 species
GACGAACGCUGGCGGCGUGCUUAACACAUGCAAGUCGAACGGGGUUAAGGAGCUUGCUUCUUAACUUAGUGGCGAACGGGUGAGUAACGCGUGAGGAACCUGCCUCUCAGUGGGGGACAACAGUUGGAAACGACUGCUAAUACCGCAUAAAACCGUAGUACCGCAUGGUACAUCGGUCAAAGAUUUAUUGCUGAGAGAUGGACUCGCGUCUGAUUAGCUAGUUGGUGAGGUAACGGCUCACCAAGGCGACGAUCAGUAGCCGAACUGAGAGGUUGAUCGGCCACAUUGGGACUGAGACACGGCCCAGACUCCUACGGGAGGCAGCAGUGGGGAAUAUUGCGCAAUGGGGGCAACCCUGACGCAGCAACGCCGCGUUGAGGAUGACGGUUUUCGGAUUGUAAACUCAUGUCGGGUGGGAAGAUAAUGACGGUACCACCGGAGAAAGUCACGGCUAACUACGUG